AUUGAACGCUGGCGGCAUGCCUUACACAUGCAAGUCGAACGGCAGCACGGGAGCAAUCCUGGUGGCGAGUGGCGAACGGGUGAGUAAUAUAUCGGAACGUGCCCAGUCGUGGGGGAUAACGUAGCGAAAGCUACGCUAAUACCGCAUACGAUCUAUGGAUGAAAGCGGGGGGAUCGCAAGACCUCGCGCGAUUGGAGCGGCCGAUAUCAGAUUAGGUAGUUGGUGAGGUAAAGGCUCACCAAGCCGACGAUCUGUAGCUGGUCUGAGAGGACGACCAGCCACACUGGGACUGAGACACGGCCCAGACUCCUACGGGAGGCAGCAGUGGGGAAUUUUGGACAAUGGGGGGCAACCCUGAUCCAGCAAUGCCGCGUGAGUGAAGAAGGCCUUCGGGUUGUAAACUGCUUUUGUACGGAACGAAAAGGUUUCUAUUAAUACUAGGAGCUCAUGACGGUACCGUAAGAAUAAGCACCGGCUAACUACGUG
rnacentral:rRNA from 1 species